UCAUAGUGACGUACUGACAGAUACUGACUUAAAACUUAUGUUUGACAUGAGUGUUUUGUAAUAAUAAUGUUCAUAAUUCGCGCUAUUAUUGAUGUCGUAAUGACAUUUGAUGCCUUGCGGUAGGUCAGGUUUUUAAUCCAAACAUUGAACCUUUUUCAUCGGAAUUUUUGGAUUUUCUGAUUUUGUGUGCCUUUAACGUGUUUGAGAACUGUGUAAAGUCGAUUUAUUGGUGUGGUAUAUGGUUUGAAACAUCUCAAAUAGUUUAGGUAAGAUCUUUAGCGUAGCUUCUCGGAAAUAUAUCGAUUUAACUUUAUCAUUUUUAUGUUAUCUUUACAGCAUCAAGAAUAUUUAGUGGUUCCCAACUGUAGAAUUAGAUUUUCGGGCAUAAAGUAAGAGAUACAUAAUCAAAAAGUAUAUAUAUAUCGAUGUAUAUUCAAAUAGAAUCUUAUUUUUAAACUUCAGUGGCUGAAAAGCAUAUCAUAAAGUUCAGUUUUAUAAGCAAUUUUUUUUGAACUAAACGCCAAACAAUUAGCUUGGGGAGAAAACUUUUACACCAGUGCAUACGGAAAAGUUUUUAUUUAUGGAAAUUGCCAGCCACCCCUCAUCAAGGAACAAGGAAGAGCAAGGCAGCAUGUACUUGCCCUAGGGAAACUGUGCUACUCACAUAUAGUAGCACUUUUAUAUCACGCACAUUACAAUAUUAGUGCGACGGACAUUGAACUUUCCAUUGUGGAAUACCCCAUGUUUUAAGCCCAGCGAGGAAAAAACUGUUAAAUUAAUAAACUUAUAUUGCUUGCGGUCUGGAGCCCAGCACUUCACCGUUUUAAGACUGAAACGUGUUGGUUUUGUAAAUAUAUGUAAAUAAUAUUUUAAUAAUAGUUGUUAUGUUUAGAAGUAAAAUUAAAAAUCCGUAGUCCAAUUCUCUUUCUAUUGCGAUGGACUUGCUGAACUUUAACCUAAAAAUGAUAAAGUUAAAUCGAUAUAUUCCCGAGAAGCUACGCUAAAGAUACUGCCUAAACUAUUUGAGUGGUACAAAGCAUAUGCCACACCAAUACAUUUUCUUAAAAAACGUAGAUCAAAAACACGUUGGAGGUACACAAAUCGAAAAAUCCUAAAAUGCCUAGGAGCAAAAAGUGCAGUUUUCAUUAAAAAACCUGACCUGCCUCAACAACGGCGCAUGCUGCACGUCACACUGAUGAUACAAGGCUAGCAUAGUUGCCAGAUGUGCAAUGAAGUAAAGCGUUUGCUUUUGGCAAGUAGCCCAAAAGUUCGAAUUGCAAAUUCUUCUCAUAAUCAUCAUUUUUGAAUUGCUGAGGGCAUAUUUGUAUCCGCACAACAAGCAUUCUCCCAUAGCUUGCACACGUUCUACACUGAACUUUCCAACUACCAAACGCAAAAUGCUCAGAUGCAGUAGCGGCUCGUGGACUGAUGUAGCGGGUGUUCUGCAAAAGAAGUUCACUGAAAUGUCAAAUCCUUUUCGAAUACCUAAUAUAUUUUUUCAAUAUUAUGUAACAGUAAAGUCUAAAUUAAUCUAUUUUUUAUAUAACAGUACAAUUCUUCGAUCCUUUCUAGUUGUAAAUUUGUCGAUUAUCAUCUCAUUAAAUUUGUCGAUUUCAGAAAUAAACGUCUUUUCGAUAGAAAUCAUGAAUAGAGCUAAUAAGCGAUCUUCAGUCAUAGAGUUGCGGAGGAAGGUCUUUAAUCCGUUUUAAGGUUGAGAAGCAACGCUCGGCUUCUGCUGUGGUCACAACAACUCCAAGUUGCAACUAUUUCUAGCGUUUUUUUUUUUGUUUUACUCAUUGUUUCAUCUAAAUUAUUUUUUAUCAAAAAUUUUAGGAGGGGUAACGCGCCAUUUAUUUCCCUACAGUCGCUUCUGAAAUAAAUAACCGACAGUUCCGUGCGGAGUCGUUCUUUUUCAAUAUGUGGAUAAGUUGAACAGAUGGUAAUCAACUUGUCUUCAAGAAACUUGCCACAAUACUCUCCAAAUUGUUCAGAAAAAAAGAAAAUGCAGCUACAAGAUAAUCUUUGAAAAUAAAUCUAUCUUUGAUGGAAAUUGUAAUCAUGUCACACACUUCUAAUGCUGCAACACGGUUAUCGAAUUUGCUAUUUCCGGAACGUUUUCGUUUAGUUGGUGGUGGUUCAGUGCAUAUGUUUGAAACUUCGUUUACAAUAUCGUCAAUUGUAUUUCGGAUAUGAACAAUUAUCUGUUCAAAGUUAUCAAUGGCAUGCAUGACCUGUGUUGGAUCUGUUUUCCUCUUCUGCAAUUGAUUGAAUAAAAUAUCCACAUGCAUCAUGCAUGAUGUGGUGGAAAAAUGUAAGCAAAAAAACGAAUUUUGGUUCUUGUAAAGUACGUUCAAUGGAGUCAGCGGCACUGCAGACGGUUGCUUGAGUAAAAUUUUCCAUUAUUUCUUCCAUACAAUCCAUAAGUGACUCUCUGUGUUCAAAUACAACAUUAAUUGUACGAAUAUUAAAAUUCCAACGAGUUGCAGCGGCAUGUGGUAUUUUUCUUCGCACAAUUUUAUUUAGUACUUCUACACGUUGCGGAGAAUUACUGAAAAAUCCAGGAAUAUCUUGCAACUUUCUAAAAAAGACCCGUACUUGAGCGUUUGCAGAAGCUGCUUUGGACAAAAUCAAAUUGAAUUGAUGGACAUAACAGUGUACAAAAUGGGCAAAGGCAUAUUUUUGUUUAAUUUUUGGCUGAACUCCUGCGUGUUGUCCACUCAUAACUGCUGCUCCAUCGUAAUUCUGUGCAAUUAACUUAUUAGGAGAAUUUCCACCUAAUCGGUCUAUAAUGCUUAAAAUAUUUUCAGAUAAAGUUUCAGCAUAGCAUUUUUCAGGAUUUAGAUAUGUCCAAAAACGCUCAACUGGUUCUCCAUCAUCGCGUGAAUAUCUUAAAAUGACCAUUAGUUGAGUUUUUGCAGACACAUCCGUCGUUUCAUCAGCACUAACAGCCAACACCAAAGCUUUUUUAAUCUCUUUGGUUAUUUCUUCAUGGCAAACCUCAAGUAUGCAAUCCAAUAAUUAAUUUUGGAUUUCUUUUGACGUACCUUUAAAAACAGACGCUUUUUGCAUAUGUUCACCCAAACUUGAAUCAAGUUCAGCCGCAAAAUUGAUCAAUUCACGAAAUAUGCCAGGGUUUUGCGAGGAAUCAGAUUCGUCAUGACCUCGUAGUGCCAAUUCAAAUGCUCCGCAAAAUUUAAGGCUGUUUAUAAUUUUUGGUAGGACAUACCUAUUUUGUGUCACGUUCUCGUUAUGUUGCUCUAAGUUCUUCCAGUAAGGGCACUUAAUUGAGAUCGAAUAUCAACUGUCCCAAGUAAAGCCAAUUCCAUGGUUGUGAAGAUUACUUUUUGAGUUUUCAUGCUUUUUUAUUUUUUCACAUAGAUGCACCAAAUCAGUUACCCCUACCUCCGUCCAUGCUUUAUAGCCGCUAAUUAGUAGACAAGGAAAACAAAAUAAAGCAUUUUUCUUAUUGCAACCACAAAUCCACUUAUUUUUGUUAUAAAUUUCUUGGCGUUUAUACGUUUUUCCUCUACUAACUCCACUUGCUUCUAUAGUAAUAUCCGGCAAUGGUAGACCCUUUUUAUUCAAUUCAAUUUUCUCUUCGUAACUAUACUUGAAAAAUAUUUUAACGUUUUUCAAAACGAAAACUACAUCCAUGGUGAUAAAACUGACAAACUUAAUUAUUUUAAAAAUCGCACAAUCUGAUAAUAUAAAUAAAUAUAAUCCCUGUCGCCUAACGUGGUUGUCUAACUAGAACUGUAUGAACUAACUAGAAAAGUUGUGGGUUUUAUCAGUGUACUGCACUACAUGCAGCUCAAAGCCCCGCUUAAAAUUCGGGAUUUUGCCGUGGUUGCACGGAAUAACGGUGACCGGCGUAGGUGUUCAAAGCAGGGCACCACCAGACUUCAAGCGGCCCAGGCAAAUGCUGUUUCUGUGCCUGAAACUUAGGCAGCGAAUAGUGGUCCAUAGUUCCACUGAUUUACUGUAAACAGUGCGCCUGAUGUAUCAUAUUAUGUUAUACCCGUAUCCUGAAAGAAAUGCAUUUACCUAAGUCCUGGUUUUGAGUAGUUGGAUUGUAAUUUUUUCAGAUUGUCUGUGAUCAUCGGGGCAAAAUAAGGGAUGUAAUAAUAGGAUUUCCAGGCUCCGUCCACGACAGCCGAGUGU